UCCGACCUCAGAUCGGACGAGAUUACCCGCUGAAUUUAAGCAUAUAACUAAGCGGAGGAAAAGAAACUAACAAGGAUUUCCCCAGUAACGGCGAGUGAAGCGGAAAAAGCCCAGCACCGAAUCCCUCAGUGUCAUGCUGACGGGAACUGUGGUGUGUGGGACGCCACCAGUCGCAUCAGCGGGCGCCGAAGUCCUCCUGAUCGAGGCUUCACCCAGAGCGGGUGUAAGGCCUUUGCAGGUGCCUCGUUGUGCGGCCGCGAGCGCCCUAGGAGUCGGGUUGUUUGGGAAUGCAGCCCAAAGCGGGUGGUAAACUCCAUCUAAG
rnacentral:rRNA from 1 species